rnacentral:rRNA from 1 species
GGAUCCAGACUUUGAUCUGGCUCAGGAUGAACGCUAGCUACAGGCUUAACACAUGCAAGUCGAGGGGGAACGAUAUUGGAAGCUUGCUUCCGAUAGGCGUCGACCGGCGCACGGGUGAGUAACGCGUAUCCAACCUGCCCACCACUUGGGGAUAACCUUGCGAAAGUAAGACUAAUACCCAAUGAUAUCUCUAGAAGACAUCUGAAAGAGAUUAAAGAUUUAUCGGUGAUGGAUGGGGAUGCGUCUGAUUAGCUUGUUGGCGGGGUAACGGCCCACCAAGGCGACGAUCAGUAGGGGUUCUGAGAGGAAGGCCCCCCACAUUGGAACUGAGACACGGUCCAAACUCCUACGGGAGGCAGCAGUGAGGAAUAUUGGUCAAUGGGCGAGAGCCUGAACCAGCCAAGUAGCGUGCAGGAUGACGGCCCUAUGGGUUGUAAACUGCUUUUAUAAAGGAAUAAAGUGGGAGUCGUGACUCCUUUUGCAUGUACCUUAUGAAUAAGGACCGGCUAAUUCCGUGCCAGCAGCCGCGGUAAUACGGAAGGUCCGGGCGUUAUCCGGAUUUAUUGGGUUUAAAGGGAGCGUAGGCCGGAGAUUAAGCGUGUUGUGAAAUGUAGACGCUCAACGUCUGCACUGCAGCGCGAACUGGUUUCCUUGAGUACGCACAAAGUGGGCGGAAUUCGUGGUGUAGCGGUGAAAUGCUUAGAUAUCACGAAGAACUCCGAUUGCGAAGGCAGCUCACUGGAGCGCAACUGACGCUGAAGCUCGAAAGUGCGGGUAUCGAACAGGAUUAGAUACCCUGGUAGUCCGCACGGUAAACGAUGGAUGCCCGCUGUUGGUCUGAAUAGGUCAGCGGCCAAGCGAAAGCAUUAAGCAUCCCACCUGGGGAGUACGCCGGCAACGGUGCAACUCAAAGGAAUUGACGG